GAUGAACGCUAGCGGCAGGCCUAAUACAUGCAAGUCGAACGCGAUUGCGGUGCUUGCACCGCAUGAAAGUGGCGUACGGGUGCGUAACGCGUGAGCAACCUACCGUUGUCUGGGGGAUAGCCCGGAGAAAUCCGGAUUAAUACCGCAUAAUAUUAGAGAGCAGCAUUGCUUUCUGAUCAAACAUUUAUGGGACAGCGAUGGGCUCGCGUGACAUUAGCUAGUUGGAGUGGUAACGGCACACCAAGGCGACGAUGUCUAGGGGAUCUGAGAGGAUGACCCCCCACACUGGGACUGAGACACGGCCCAG
rnacentral:rRNA from 1 species